CCACCACCCCAUAGAGAUCCACCACCCCAUGGAGACCACCACCCCAUAGAGAUCCACCACCCCAUGGAGACCACCACCCCAUGGAGAUCCACCACCCCAUAGAGAUCCACCACCCCAUGGAGAUCCACCACCCCAGCAUCUCACCACCCCAUGGGAUCCCACCACCCCAUGGGACCCACGACCCCAGCAUCUCACCACCCCAUGGAGACCCACCACGCCAAAUCCCACCACCCCAUGGAGACCCACAACCCCAACAUCUCACCACCCCAUGGGAUCCCACCACCCCAAAUCCACCACCCCAUGGAGACCCACCACCCCAAAUCCCACCACCCCAUGGAGACCCACAACCCCAACAUCUCACCACCCCAUGGGAUCCCACCACCCCAUGGGAUCCCACCACCCCAUGGAGACCCACCACCCCAGCAUCUCACCACCCCAUGGGAUCCCACCACCCCAUGGAGACCCAUCACCCCCACAUCUCCCCACCCCAUGGGAUCCCACCACCCCAAUACCUCACCACCCCAAAUCCCACCACCCCAUGGGAUCCCACCAUCCCAAAUCCCACCACCCCUGGGAGACCCACCACCCCACCACCCCAUGAGAUCCCACCACCCCAUGGGACCUCCAACCCUAUAGGAACCCCCCACCCCAUGGAGACCAACCACCACCCCAUGGAUACCACCACCCCAUGGGAUCCCACCACCCCAAAUCCCACCACCCCAUGGAGACCCAUCACCCCAACAUCUCACCACCCCAUGGGAUCCCACCACCCCAUGGAGUCCCACCACCCCAUGGGACCCACCACCCCAAAUCCCACCACCCCACAGAGACCCACCACCCCAGUACCCCACCACGCCAAAUCCCACCACCCCAUGGAGACCCACCACCCCAGCAUCUCACCACCCCAUGGGAUCCCACCACCCCAAAUCCCACCACCCCAUGGAGACCCAUCACCCCAACAUCUCACCACCCCAUGGAGACCCACAACCCCAGCAUCUCACCACCCCAUGGGAUCCCACCACCCCAAAUCCCACCACCCCAUGGGAUCCCACCACCCCAAAUUCCAGCACCUCAUGGGAUCUCACCACCCCAAAUCCCACCACCCCAUGGAGACCCAUCACCCCAACAUCCCACCACCCCAUGGAGACCCACCACCCCAGCAUCUCACCACCCCAUGGGAUCCCACCACCCCAAAUCCCACCACCCCAUGGGAUCCCACCACCCCAUAGAGACCCAUCACCCCAACAUCCCACCACCCUAUGGAGACCACCACCCCAGCAUCUCACCACCCCAGGGUACCCCACCACCCCAUGGGAUCCACCACUCCAUGGAGACCCAUCACCCCAACAUCUCAGAACCCCAUGGGAUCCCACCACCCCAUGGGAUCCCACCACCCCAUGGGAUCCCACCACCCCAGUUCCCCACCACCCCAUGGAGA
rnacentral:lncRNA from 1 species